AUGUGGAAUGUUUUAAAAUAAUUUAUUAGGAAUUUUAAAAAGUUUUUUUUCAAAAGAAUAAACAUGACAGGAAAAAGAAAAUCAGAAAAUGUUACAGUGUUGACAAGAUUGUUAUUUUUCAGUGAAAACGGCAUCAAAGUAUGACCUUUGUAGGCCACAGCAGUGUGAGCAAGUAUCAAAAUGUAAAACCUGGUACUUUGUAGAUGAAGGGUGCUUUGUUCUUAAGCUAACAUUCAAAAUAAAACACAUUUAUCGUGAUCGGCCAGUGCAACGUCCGAGUAGCUCUGAACAUACUUGUUUUGGUCUAAAAAUAGCUGUCACAUUGCUACAGUCUGUGACCUCCAGUGGAUAUGCAGUGAUGGAUUGGGGGCUGCAGGGGGGUCGACAGUUAAACAAACAUUUACAAGACCCCCCCUCCCCUUCCUUGUUAGAAAAGCCACCUUUCUAAAAGGUUCAACAAUCCUCACUUUGACACAGAUGUUAAUGUAAUAAUAAAAAAGUCAGAUUAAAAUUUCACAUUUGAAACUGAGGUUCUCCCCCCCCCCACCCCCCAAAAAAAAAAAACCGCACAUCGCACAUUGGAAACACAUGAAACGCUCACGCAAACAUCAACGCAACCUGCAGAGCAUGUCGGUCACAACAGUGAUGACUGUGCACAACAGCUCCAGCACGCGACGUCUUCAUUUUCCUUCACAAUCAAUCAACGCGUAUUGAAAAUCACAGUUAAAACAGCAAUAUGACUAAGUAAGAAAACGGCAUGAUUUUUUUUUUUUACUCACACCCAUGUAUCCCCAAAAGUAAAGUGUUCUUCCAAACUCGGCCUCCCUCCCCCCCGCGACUCAAGGUGUUUCAAUUCUGAGGCAGUUUUGAAAUACAGUGAAAUAAUCCAAUGAGAUUCUGUAUAAAAUGCCUGAGGAGGAAUACAGUAGGCGGCUGGUCUGAUAUUCACUGACAAACGUACUGAUAUGUUGUUAACAUCCUCUCUGUGAAAGCAUGAGGCCUAACAAUCAAGCUCUCCAACACAUUACAGUUGGUGAGAGAAGCAUCUUAUUUGCCUCCGACCUCCUACACACAAGCAUCAGCUGCUGCCCUCCUCCUCCCAAGAAACCAGUCAUAUUUACAAUAUUUUACAAAAUUGUACAGCUCAUUGGGGCCUAUUACGUAAAUGUGACUAAUGACCUUUGUCGUUUGAGCAUUAUUAGUGUAAGAUUUUUUUGUUAAAAACCUACAAGACAUACACUUUGUGACACAUUUCAAGAAAGAGUAUUAAUCACAAAUGAUUUGUUAAAAUUCAGUAUGAACUAGUGACAAAUAUAUAGUUUUUCAGUACAAAUUACAGCCUGUGACCUGGCUCCCCCUGGAGAUUUUUUUCCAUCAGGUUCAAAGGUCAAAUAAACCAAUAAAACACAAUCAAAACAGAUAAAGAAACAAUGCAGCAUCACAAAAGAAAACAGCAUGGUGAAACAUAACAACAGAGAAAAAGAAAAAACACCAAAAUACAGCAUCUUAUGUGUUGCGAUUACAUGUAGUCAUAAACCUUUUUGCUCAUUUUGUGAACUUUCUCUUCUUUUUUUUUUCCAGGAGGGGGAGUUAAGUGAGGCGUCAGUAGGGUGGGUCGGGUUCAGACUGACACCAAGGAGGAGGGGUGAAAGUUCAUCUGCCCUGGCCAGAGAGGUGGACUGGACAGAGACAGGCCAGAUGAGCUCCAGAGCAGCUUCAACUCCUUCCAGCUCUCAGUCUACACCGAAAAGACACCGAAAAAACACCCAGGUUACUCACAGGCGAGUCCCUGCGAAACAGUCUUAUACGUUAGGUGCAACAAGA
ensembl:lncRNA